GGUCUCAUGGCUCAGUGGAAGAGCGUUCCGUUCACACCGGAAAGGUCGCUGGUUCGAUCCCAGCUGAGACCA
rnacentral:tRNA from 7 species